GGGGAUUUAGCUCAGUGGCAUAAGCACCUGCCUUGCAAGCAGGAGGUUGCGAGUUCGAUCCUUGGUACCG
rnacentral:tRNA from 1 species